rnacentral:rRNA from 2 species
UGAGGAAUAUUGGUCAAUGGAGGCAACUCUGAACCAGCCAUGCCGCGUGCAGGAUGACGAUCCUAUGGAUUGUAAACUGCUUUUGUACAGGAAGAAAUGUAGUUACGUGUAACUAUUUGACGGUACUGUAAGAAUAAGGACCGGCUAACUCCGUGCCAGCAGCCGCGGUAAUACGGAGGGUCCGAGCGUUAUCCGGAAUUAUUGGGUUUAAAGGGUUCGUAGGCGGCCUUGUAAGUCAGUGGUGAAAUCUCCUAGCUUAACUAGGAAAUUGCCGUUGAUACUGUGAGGCUUGAAUCAUUAGGAAGUAACUAGAAUAUGUAGUGUAGCGGUGAAAUGCUUAGAUAUUACAUGGAAUACCAAUUGCGAAGGCAGGUUACUACUAAUGUAUUGACGCUGAUGAACGAAAGCGUGGGUAGCGAACAGG